UACGUAGGUGGCGAGCGUUAUCCGGAUUUACUGGGCGUAAAGCGUGUGCAGGUGGCCUGUUAAGUGGUGUAUGAAAGCCCCCGGCUCAACCGGGCGGUGGCGGGCGGGACGGCGCGGCUGGAGGGUGGUAGGGGCCAGUGGAAUUCCCGGUGUAGUGGUGAAAUGCGUAGAUACCGGGAGGAACACCCGCAGCGAAGGCGGCUGGCUGGGCCAUUCCUGACGCUGAGGCGCGAAGGCUCGGGGAGCGAACGGG
rnacentral:rRNA from 1 species